rnacentral:lncRNA from 1 species
AAGUACCUGCCAAUGUAAUAAUGGUAGUGUUGAGGUACCUCUGAUGAUGGUGAUGACACCACUGAGCAGAUUGUGAACUUGUGAUGCCUGUAUGCACUGCCUUAAUUGAGUGUGAAAGAAUAAAUAUAUGCCAGCGAUUGAUAUGGAGAUUUGGGUAGUAAAAAACAGUGUAACUUAAAAGCUUAUACUAAUGGUAGUGAACUGUGGUUACUAGUUUUACUAACUAGCUUGCCAUACUGUGCAAACUGCUUGAAUUGUGUGCCAUAAUUAGUUUGUCCAACAUUUUAUUCUACCAAUUUGUUUCCAACAACUCUCAAUAUACAUUUCUAUUCCAAUUUGGAUUAUAGCUUUGCAUCUUAUUUUCUAUUAAUGUUUUUGAAUCUUAAGCUUGGCCUGUAGCAGUUGCAUUAAAUUUGUAUUUUUUUUUAUCUUAGUUGAAUUGUGNNNNNNNNNNNNNNNNNNNNNNNNNNNNNNNNNNNNNNNNNNNNNNNNNNNNNNNNNNNNNNNNNNNNNNNNNNNNNNNNNNNNNNNNNNNNNNNNNNNNCAUCAUAUAAGGCAUCUUAUCAGUCUUGGAAGUUACUCUUGCAGUUGUGAUAUGUCUGUGUGCACUAUAACAUCACAUUGGUCUUGAUUUCUUUUGAGAGUUAUGCACUAUAAGUUCAAACAUUAUAGAAGGUCAGAAAUGCCAGGUAUAAGAAUAUAUAAGUAAAAGAAGACUGUCAUAAUUUCUAUGUGCUUUACUAAGUCAGACAAGAAAGGAAAAUAAGAACACUAAUUAAUAAGUGGGUCUAAUUAAAUAAUAAAUAAUAUUGAAUAUUCAAUUUUGACUAGAUAUUGCCCUUCUUUUCUGAAGGUUAAAGAAAAACAAAAAAAAAUUGAGAAUUAAAAAACACUAAUGUCAUUCUUUUUCUGUUCUUAGGUGUGUUCAAACCAAAAGAAAUAAAUAAUAAAGUAGCUUGUAGAAGAUAAAAUAAGUAUACAUGCAUUUCUAUAAACAAAAGAGAAGGAAAAAAAAGAAAAGAAAAGUGAAAUUGACAAGGGAAAAAGAGGAAUAAAAGAAAAGGAAGGAAUUAAAUGUGAAUGAUCUAGGCAUAUCUAGAAGUUUAAGCCAUUAUGUCAAAACUUAUAGGCAUAAGUAGUAGAAUUUAAAUUUGUUGACAAACAUUUUCAUCCACAUGAUUUUUAUUUCUUCAUCAUUGAUUUUGGCUUUGGAGAAUUUUUUAAACACUCUGAAUAUAUAUAACAUUCUUUAUUUGUAGGUGAGACUUUGUGUGUGCACGCACAUGUUUGCUGUUUCAAUUUAUCAGUUGUAUGGCUUGUGGUUUUCAUAAAAGUAUCUUUCAUAGCACCUUUCUUCUGGAUUUCUCUACUUGUGCCCAUAUCUUUAUUUCACAAUAAGUUAAAAUUUGAGGCUUUGGUUUACAUUGCAAUUAGCAAAAUUGUAGAAUUUUUUUGUAGACAAAUGCUACCACAGUUGUGGUCUUCACACAGAUAAAAAAAUGUUGCAGCCACAAUUACAGUUGCAAAUAACAAUUUAAAACUGUUAUUGGUAUUCUAGUUUGUGGUUGAACUAUUUUGAAUGUUAUGUGGGUGGGAAUUGUGUUAAACAUAGCUGAAUCCAGGUAUUCUAACAUGUUUGCAUACUGGACAUGUGGCCAUAUUUUAGCAUAUAUCUUAAUUAACAUUUACUUUUGUAAAAAAAAAAUGACAACAAUUCAUACACAAACGUACGCCAUCAAAAUGAAGAAAUUUGACAUUAAGUGUUUGGCUGCAGAAACUGAAUGAAAGAUGGAUUACAUGUUAAGCAUAAUACCUGGUGGUGGGGAAAAUGCGAAUAUACAGAAGAUGCAUACUCAAACGCUUCUAUUUCAACUGAUCACAUUAUGACAGUGAAUCCGUUGUGAAGUUCCCAGCUCUCAUACAUCUAAAAAAUGAGGACUGAGUUGCACAAAUGUCACAAUAACACAGUUUGCAGUUUUGGCCAGGAUUCUUUAAUUCCUUACACAAUGCCAUUAAGCCCUAUAAUAGCACACUAUCAAGUUUGGUGGCUUGCAUUUCAAUGUCAAUAUAGUAAGAGGCUGUGCUCAAAAUAAAGAAUAUGAAAUCAUGGUUCAUACUUUGUAGCAACUCAAGUUUGUGAAGUGUCUGAUGAGUGAUUGCUUAGUUUUUAGAAGUAAUGAUCUUAACUUGAAUAUAUGGUUGGAUAAGGGAGAUCCAUGUUGAAGUAAGAUUGAUGAAUGAACUUGUCAUCCCUCGUCCCUAGCUAGAAGACAGGCCACAAGCUGGAGUGGUUGGAGACAUACACAUCGUUUUGAUAACAGACUAACAGGAUGUACUGAAAGUGUUUGUGGAAAAAAAAAAAAAAAGACUGGUCGAGCUAGUGAUGUACUAGUGUUAUAUUUGGCCUUGUGAGACUAGGGAGUAACGAGAGGGGUCAAAAUCAUUCUACAUUUUUUAUCUUAUUGGGAGUGAAGGUGGUAAUUUACUUAGUUGAAAUGUACAUAUCUCCAGAUGAUAUCUGAACCAGACCUAGAUAUUGUUAGAUAUUUUUUAUUUUUCAAAAUGGUCCCUUAAAUAGUAUUUUCUUAUAACAAAAUAUAAAUAUUCUGUCAUUAAGAUUGGUUAAUCAGAUCCUUUAUUGUUCUUAA